rnacentral:rRNA from 1 species
UACAGAGGGUGCGAGCGUUAAUCGGAAUUACUGGGCGUAAAGCGUGCGUAGACGGUUAUUUAAGUCGGAUGUGAAACCUCCAGGCUCAACCUGGAGUCGCCAUCCGAUACUGCCAUGGCUAGAGUCCGGUAGGGGCCCACGGAAUUCCUGGUGUAGCGGUGAAAUGCGCAGAUAUCAGGAGGAACACCGAUGGCGAAGGCAGUGGGCUGGGCCGGCACUGACGCUGAGGAGCGAAAGCGUGGGGAGCGAACAGG